rnacentral:rRNA from 1 species
GACGAACGCUGGCGGCGUGCUUAACACAUGCAAGUCGAACGAAGUGGCGAACGGGUGAGUAACGUGUAAUCAACCUCCCCUUCAGAGGGGGACAACACUGGGAAACGACUGCUAAUACCGCAUACUGAAGGAGGGGAUUGCGUCGGAUUAGCUAGUGGGAGGGGUAACGGCCCACCAAGGCGAUGAUCAGUAGCCGGUCUGAGAGGAUGAACGGCCAAAGUGGGACUGGGACACGGCCCAGAAUCCUACGGGAGGCAGCAGUGGGGAAUCUUCCGCAAUGGACGAAAGUCUGGCGGAGCAACGCCGCGUGGGGGAUGACGGGCUUCGGGUUGUGAAGCGCUGUUAAUCGAGAAGCGGUAACGGAAUAGAAAGCCACGGCUAACUACGUGCCAGCAGCCGCGGUAAUAC